rnacentral:sRNA from 1 species
AGCAAGAGGGUAGGUUAUUUUCUUGGGGGCAUAAAGGAUCAUAUGAAACAGGAAGAAAGAAAAGUAAAUAAGCAGUCUAAGAAAAAAUUGGCUUGGUUGGGUAAAAGCUACUGCUAAGGUCAAGUGAAAUCAUAUGUUACUGGGAUGAGUUGCAUCAAAAUUCCACUAUAACAGGUAAUACAUAAAAUUUCUAGGUUGAGUUCCAUUUCUUGAUAUGACAUCCGGUUAUAAGCUCAGUUAUAGUUGUAUCAGUGGUACUGAAAUUGUUCUUAUGAAAGUAAUUAUACAAAUGCUGGCGUUGUGCCGUUUGUUAUAGUUGUAUCAGUGGUCUGCAAGUUACUUUUGUUCCCUUGUCAUUAUUGAUAUCAUUUUUGUGGUAGUAAAUUAUUGUCAACUACAGAGAC